rnacentral:rRNA from 1 species
CCUGAGCAUGGGCACGUUCGAGGUGCAUCUCCCCUUCGACCAGGACCGGUACGAAUUCGCCGACCCUGCCGGCGUGGGCUUACCGGCGUUCCUGCCCGACAACGAACCCACGCGGAAGCAGAUGGCCAUGUUCCACGGGUCGAUCCGCUUCAUGGACCAACAGUUCGGGCGGACCCUGGCGGCCCUGGACGCUUCGCCCCACCGCGACAACACGAUCGUGAUCUUCACGACCGACCACGGCAUGGCCUUCCCUCGGGCAAAGAGCACGCUGUACGACUCGGGCAUAGGCAACGCGACGAUCGUACGCCUGCCCAAGGACAUGGGCCCCGGCGGGGUGG